GUCACUGUAUAAUGGUCCAAAGUUGCCUAAAGAAUAAAUCCCGUACAUGAGUUUAGUUUAGGUCACUAUUAUUGAUUUUGAUUUAUUUUUCAUCUCAGUAUUUAGUGUUUCAGCUCGGUGCAUUGCUUUACUUUUAAGUGCAUACAAUAGCUUAUCAAAAGGAAAGAAACAAUUUUUCUGUUAAUGGAAAGACUACAUUCAAACAUUUAUUUGAAGAGAAGUAGUGAGGACGAAAGAGAUAACCAUUCUGCAGUGACACAUAAAUAAUUAUUUAUUAAUAAUUAAUUAAUUAAUAAUUAUUAUAAUAAAUAAGUAUAUUUUGACAUAUACAAAUCUUAUGCAGACAUUUUCUUCAUAUAAACAUAUAAACAGAAUGUCUGCGAAAAAGUGAAAAGGGUUUUACGCAUGAUAGAGCUAA